rnacentral:rRNA from 1 species
AUUGAACGCUGGCGGCAUGCUUUACACAUGCCAGUCGAACGGCAGCGGGGAGGAGCUUGCUUCUCUGCCGGCGAGUGGCGAACGGGUGAGUAAUACAUCGGAACGUGUCGAGAAGAGGGGGAUAACCACCCGAAAGGGUGGCUAAUACCGCAUAAAUUCUGAGGAAGAAAGCUGGGGACCUGGGAAUAGGCCUAGCGCUUUUUGAGCGGCCGAUGUCGGAUUAGCUAGUUGGUGAGGUAAAGGCUCACCAAGGCGAAGAUCUGUAGCGGGUCUGAGAGGAUGAUCCGCCACACUGGGACUGAGACACGGCCCAGACUCCUACGGGAGGCAGCAGUGGGGAAUUUUGGACAAUGGGGGCAACCCUGAUCCAGCCAUGCCGCGUGUAUGAAGAAGGCCUUAGGGUUGUAAAGUACUUUUGUUAGGGAAGAAAAGUCAGCUGUGAAUAAUGGCUGAUACUGACGGUACCUAAAGAAUAAGCACCGGCUAACUACGU